UACGUAGGGUGCGAGCGUUAAUCGGAAUUACUGGGCGUAAAGCGUGCGCAGGCGGUGAUGUAAGACCGAUGUGAAAUCCCCGGGCUUAACCUGGGAACUGCAUUGGUGACUGCAUUGCUGGAGUAUGGCAGAGGGGGGUGGAAUUCCACGUGUAGCAGUGAAAUGCGUAGAGAUGUGGAGGAACACCGAUGGCGUAGGCAGCCCCCUGGGCCAAUACUGACGCUCAUGCACGAAAGCGUGGGGAGCAAACAGG
rnacentral:rRNA from 1 species